UUCCUUAUGAUAGAGUAUCAAGAGGUGACAAAGGAUCUUGAAAAUGAUUGAUCCUUCUUAUAGAGUCCCAGUUCCAACUUGAUGCACUCAAAAGUGCUGCCUUAUGAGAAUAGUUUCUAGCUCUGUGUUUUCUUUUGUUAAUGCUGCUUAUUUUUAUUGGCUCAGGUGCCAUUCCUAGCCACUGCUGGGUCAAGAACCCGUGGCGAUCUAUUAAUUAUGUGAUUAGGGAUGUUAUUAUGGUUUUUGGAUUAGCUGCAUUGGCAAAUUUCUUUGACAGUUGGGUUGUUUAGCCUUUUUACUGGGCUGCCCAGGGGACAAUAUUUUGGGCACUGUUUGUUCUUGGUCAUGUUUGGUAAUAUACACAACAUGCUAACAAUUCCUGUUUUGGAAAUUAAGUUUGAAGGCUCAUUUUUGUGUUUGUGUUUGUUUUUUUUUUUUUUUUGAAUCUGCAGUGGCCAUGGAAGCUUUUCCAACAGCUCUUUGUUGAACAGUGUUGUUGGACAUCUCCUGUAUUCGUCAAUUCUUGUGCCUUAUCAUGGAUGGAGAAUUAGCCACAGAACUCACCAUCAGAAUCAUGGACAUGUU